rnacentral:pre_miRNA from 1 species
UCUUAUGAAUGAGGAAAUAAAGUGGUUUCUUUAGAUGGAAUCUACUCAUGGUGUAGAUGCCGAGAA